UCACUAAUCUGUAAACAAUAAUUUCAUGUAGUAAAUUUAGCACUUUUUUAACCAGUACAAAAUCAAAACAUAAUCAUUUCUUGUAUAACACCACUGUAAAAUGUUCGUCCUUAGGUCUGAGCAGGUAAGGGCACUUUGCGUCGUUGUUUCCAACAUUCGAAAAACCUGAUUUGAAAACAACGUUAAUAGAAAUGACGGGUUUUGGCUUUUUUUGUUCCAUUUUGAACAUCAGGGAAGGUCAUCAGUGUAAAUAGGAAGUUAGUGUUUUGUGUCGUUUUUUUUUUGUUUUUUUUUUAAGUAGAACUUAAUCAUUUUUCUUCUAGACACCAUUAAAAAAAAAAAUCACUGUUCCUAUCAAAAGGUUCCACACCUGAGUUUUAACUUUUACAUAGGUUCAAGCUGUCUUACUGCUUUGAAACUGCACAGAACACAUACCUACUUCUGGCGUGUCUUUCUGAGUGAACGAGCAUGCAGUUCUUCUCACAGGACUCUAGGUCCAGUAACUUUAUAAAACAAUGGCUUUCAAACAAUUACUGUGGGAGACAAUUUUUUUUUUAAAGGCAAUUUAAAAUACUUGAUUCCAGAGUAAUAUAAAAAUAACUUUAAGAGCCUUGGCAAUAAAGGAAAAUGGCAGGCAACUUCAGUUUGGCAUUCUGUCCAAAAUUUCGAGAACAAAGACUGGUUACCACCACUUUUCUAAAACAAAGUGAGCCAUUUUAAAAGCUAAAGAACCCACUUAACAUGAUUUGAUCGCAAAGUUAGUAGACCACAAUUCUGUUUCCUCAGCUAAUACAGAAUUCUGGGAACAAAGUCCAUGAAGGAAACUUCAGUAACGUGCAUUAGAGGGUACUUCAGAUUAACUCGUCAUAGAAAGUUGCCUCUUGAGCCUUCAAAGUCCAUACCAAUUCUUUACCUCUGGUUGGUUAGCUGUUUUUUAAAAUUUAGGUUUCAAGGUGAAUUGCCCAGGGCUAUUUAUUUCCAUGAACCUAGCUUCAAAUCUAAAGGCAAAGUUGAAAUGCAUAUUUUUCUAUCUCCAGAAGAGAUGACCACAAAUGCUACUAUCCGUCCUAUGAUUCUUUUGUUCCACUCACAAUACAAAUAGCUUAUUCUUCUACCAAUCUAUGUCUCAUAAAGCAAUACUGAAAAGUUAAAUAGAAGAAAGUUACCAUAUAGACUGUGAAAAUGAUUUGCUGGUGGUGACUCUUAUACUUGAUUCUAAAUAGACUGAAUAAGAAGGGCACUUGGAAGAGGUGGCUCAAAUCUUGCUGUUUAAGGUCUCUUGAAAUUACCGGUUCUCCUAAAAUUUCAAAAGGCCUAAAACUUAGGCUUUUAAAGGCACAGAAGCAGUGACGGAAGCUUUUAUAGUUACUUAGAAAAAGCAAAACUUCAUAGUUUUCUCUCUCAAUGGUUGU